rnacentral:rRNA from 1 species
AUUGAACGCUGGCGGCAGGCCUAACACAUGCAAGUCGAACGAGUGGCGGACGGGUGAGUAAUUGCUGGGAAACUGCCUGAUGGAGGGGGAUAACUACUGGAAACGGUAGCUAAUAACGCAUAACAUCAGAUGUGCCCAGAUGGGAUUAGCUAGUUGGUGGGGUAACGGCUCAACAAGGCGACGAUCCAUAGCUGGUCUGAGAGGCUGACCAGCCACACUGGAACUGAGACACGGUCCAGACGCCUACGGGAGGCAGCAGUGGGGAAUAUUGCACAAUGGGCGCAAGCCUGAUGCAGCCAUGCCGCGUGUAUGAAGAAGGCCUUCGGGUUGUAAAGUACUUUCAGCGGGGAAGCGUUACCCGCAGAAGAAGCACCGGCUAACUCCGUGCCAGCAGCCGCGGUAAUUC